rnacentral:lncRNA from 1 species
GUUUUUUACAGUAGGCCUUCUGUGGGUCCUGAUACAAUUCCCAAACAAUGGUGGAAAUUAUAAAGAAACAGAUGAUAUGACUAUUACCUGUAAAUCAUGACCAGAAAUAUAAUACAGACCUACUUCAUUUUAUUACACUUCAUUGUGCCUCACAGAUACUGUGGUUUCUUGUUUGUUUGUUUUAACACAUUGAAGGUUUGUGGCAACUCUGUUGAGCAAGUCUAUCAGCACCAUUUUCCCAACAGUUUGUUCUUGCUUUGUGUCUCUGUGUGACACUUUGGUAACUCUCAUAAUAUUUUAGACUUUGCAUUAUUAUUGUAUCUGUUAUGGUUAUCUAUGAUCAGUCAUCUUUGAUGCUACUAUUGUUAUUUUGGUGUACCACAAACCACAUCUAUAGAAAAUAGCUAACUGAAUUGACAGAUGUAUGUGUUCUGACUACUUUCCCCAUCUCUCUCCCUCUCCUUGAGCCUCCCUACUUCCUAAGAUACAAUCAUUAAAAUUAGGCCUAUGACUAACCCUACAGUGACCUCUACGUGUUCAGGUGAUAGGAAAAGUCCUAUGUCUCUCACUUCAAAUCAAAAGCUAGAAAUGAUUGUUUCAUGAGGAAGGCAUGUUGAAACUAGGCCUCUUGUGCCAAACAGCCAAGUUGUGAAUGCAAAGGAGAAGUUCUUGAAGGAAAGUAUAGGUGCUACUUCAUUGAACACAUGAAUGAUAAGAAAGUGAAAUGGCCUUAUUGUUGAUAUGGAGAAAAUUUUAGUGGUCUGGAUAGAAGAUGAAACCAGCCACAGCAUUCUCUUAAGCCAACAUCUAAUCCAGAGCAAAGCCCUCACUCUCUUCAAGUCUAUGAAGGAUGAGAGAGGUGAGGAAGCUGCAGGAGAAAAGUUUGAUGCUAGCAGAGGUUGGUUCAUGAGGUUUAGAUAAAGAAGUCAUCUCCCUAAAAAUGCAAGAUGAAUCAGCAGGUGCUGAUGUAGAAGCUGCAGCAAGUUAUCCAGAACGUCUAGCUAAGCUCAUUGAUGAAGGUGGCUACACUAAACAGCAGAUUUUCAGUGUAGACAAAAACAGCCUUCUGUUGCAAGAAGAAGCCAUCUAGGACUUUGAUAGCUAGAGAGAAGUCAAUGCCUGACUUCAAAGCUUCAAAGGGCAGACUGACUCUCUUGUUAGAGGUUAAUGCAACUGGUCACUUUAAGCUGAAGCCAUUUGCAAUUCCAAAAAUCCUAGGGUCCUUAAGAAUUAUGUUAAAUCUGCUCUGCCUGUGCUCCAUAAAUGGAACAACAAAGUGUGGAUGUCAGCACGUCUGUAUACAGCAUGGUUUACUCAAUAUUUUAAGCCCACGACCUACUGCUCAGAAAAAGGCUCCUUUUAAAAUUACUUCUCAUUGACAAUGCACCUGGUUAUUAAGGAGCUCUGAUGGAGAUGUGCAAGGAAAUUCAUGUUUUCAUGCCUGUGAACACAACACCCAUUCUGCAGCCCAUGGAUCAAAGGGAAACAGGAUGCCCUUGUCCUCGACCUCUC